rnacentral:rRNA from 1 species
CUGGCGGCAUGCCUUACACAUGCAAGUCGAACGGCAGCACGGGAGCAAUCCUGGUGGCGAGUGGCGAACGGGUGAGUAAUAUAUCGGAACGUGCCCAGUCGUGGGGGAUAGCGUAGCGAAAGCUACGCUAAUACCGCAUACGAUCUAUGGAUGAAAGCGGGGGAUCGCAAGACCUCGCGCGAUUGGAGCGGCCGAUAUCAGAUUAGGUAGUUGGUGAGGUAAAGGCUCACCAAGCCGACGAUCUGUAGCUGGUCUGAGAGGACGACCAGCCACACUGGGACUGAGACACGGCCCAGACUCCUACGGGAGGCAGCAGUGGGGAAUUUUGGACAAUGGGCGCAAGCCUGAUCCAGCAAUGCCGCGUGCAGGAUGAAGGCCUUCGGGUUGUAAACUGCUUUGUACGGAACGAAACGGUGAGCUCUAAUACAGUUUGCUAAUGACGGUACCGUAAGAAUAAGCACCGGCUAACUACGUG